AUAAAAUAUGGUCCCUAAUGGUAUACUUUUAGGAUGAGAUUAUUCCCUGGUCCCUAAUUCACAUUUUUAUUCUUUAAAAAAUUUGAAAGCAUAAAUAACCAGUCCCUAAUAAGAAAAAUUCAACCACUAAAGGUGCUAAUAGGCAAAACUUUCAAAAUCCUUUUCUCUCUAGACAAAUCCCUAAAGACCUAAACCCAACUGGAGACGCAUUCCCUGGACACGCACGUGAUUUCGUCACUCACUGCAUCUUCUUUCCCAUUAUCUGGAUGUAUUUUGUCAAAAACUCAUCGUGGGGAGACCAAAAAUAUAAAUAAGAUACCUACUUUGCAUAUAUGAUCGUCUUGAUAAUUCUGUUUUUGGACCUUUUCCUGUUCCUCUUGGUGCACAGUAUGGUAGUUGCCAGCGGAAACUUCUUGCAGAAGACUUGAACAAGAGAUGGAUGCAAGUGUUGCUGGAAACAUCACCAACCACACCUUUGGAGCAGUGUGAGUGGCUGAAUAUGCUAUUUAUUGAAGUCUCCCGAGGCUUUCUUUGAGGUUCUUUUCUAUUGUUGAUGUAAAUUAUUUUGAGGUCUUGUAUUUUGCCCAACAAGCAGCAUAAUAUUACCUGAUAGUUAAGUGUUGAUGGAGCAGGUGGAUAGGAUAAGUAGUCGGUGUCUCGUGUGUCUGAUAUGCCUCUUCAACUCUAGGACUCGAUGGCUAUAGUUUUAUUGUUCUUUUACCUAUAUAAUUCAUCCGGGGAGAUGUUGAGCUUGGAAAAAUAGUGGUUUAUCUUGGUGACAAAUAUACGACUCUCUAGCAGUUUAAAUCUGGC